rnacentral:rRNA from 1 species
GCUAAAAAUCUAGCCCCCCUCCCCCCCGUCUGAUAAACCCUAUUAACUAAUGACAUCAAUCAAAACAUUUUCAUAUCUUAGUAAAGGCGAUUGAAAAAUUAUUUGGAGCUAUAAAAAUAGUACCGCAAGGGAAAGAUGAAAUAAAAUUGAAAUAAAUAUUAAGCACAGAAAAGUAGAGAAUUCACCUCGUACCUUUUGCAUCAUGGUUUAACUAGUCUAAUUAAGCAAAAUGACCUAUAGUUUAACUUCCCGAAACUAAGCGAGCUACUUCAAGGCAGCUUAUUGAGCAAACCCGUCUCUGUUGCAAAAGAGUGGGAAGACCUUCAAGUAGGGGUGACAGACCUAACGAGCUUAGUGAUAGCUGGUUACUCAAGAAAAGGAUUUUAGUCCAACCUAAAGUUUAAAUAAUAAAAACAAAUAACGAAACCACUUUAGAGCAAUUCAAAUAAGGUACAGCCUGUUUGAAAAAGGAUACAACCUAUAAGGGUGGGUAACUAUUAUCAACAAUAAUCAAGUAGGCUUAAAAGCAGCCACCUUUUAAAUAGCGUCAAAGCUUCAUUAUUCUUACCUUUUAAUACCCCAAGUAACCCGGAACCCCCCAUCACUACUGAGUACUUCUAUAUCACUAUAGAAUAUUUUAUGUUAAAACUAGUAACAAGAAGUGGAACUUCACUUAAAUGCAAGUGUAAAUCAGAAAGGACCCACCACUGACUUUUAACAUGCAUGCAGACAAAUUAAUAAACUCACAAGAAAAACUUAAUUUUAACUAUGUUAACCUAACACAAGAGCAUUUCAAGUAAGAUUAAAAGAAAAAGAAGGAACUCGGCAAAUAUUAACCCCGCCUGUUUACCAAAAACAUCGCCUCUUGACAAAAUAUAAGAGGUCCAGCCUGCCCAGUGACUCUGUUCAACGGCCGCGGUAUCCUAACCGUGCGAAGGUAGCGUAAUCACUUGUUCUUUAAAUGAGGACUAGUAUGAAUGGCACCACGAAGGUUACACUGUCUCCUUUUUCUAAUCAGUGAAACUAAUCCCCCCGUGAAGAAGCGGGGAUAAAUUUAUAAGACGAGAAGACCCUAUGGAGCUUCAAACUAAAUAACACUUGCUUUUAUAUAACUUUACUUCAGAGUAGUUAACACCUAUUUCAGCCCCCUGAUUAUUAGUUUUAGGUUGGGGUGACCGCGGAGUAAAAAAUAACCUCCACAUUGAAUGGGGUUUAGGCCCCUGAGCUACGAGCUACAACUCUAAGCACCAAUAAAUUGACAUUAAUUGACCCAAUAUAUUGAUCAACGAACCAAGUUACCCUAGGGAUAACAGCGCAAUCCGCUUUAAGAGCUCCUAUCGACAAGCGGGUUUACGACCUCGAUGUUGGAUCAGGGUAUCCCAGUGGUGCAGCCGCUACUAAAGGUUCGUUUGUUCAACGAUUAAAACCCUACGUGAUCUGAGUUCAGACCGGAGUAAUCCAGGUCAGUUUCUAUCUAUAAAGAGCUUUUUCUAGUACGAAAGGACCGAAAAAGCAUGGCCUAUGCUUCAUGCAAGCCGUACCUGGUUAUUUAUGACUUUAACUUAAUAAACACUCAACCUUCAACUCAAACUCUAGACAAGAGUA